UCUUCCGUGGCGCAAUUGGCUAGCGCGUCUGACUGUUAAGCACACUUUAAAGCAUCCCCAUACCUUCUGUAACAAGAGGAUUGGAACAAGGAGCUCGCUGCAAUCAGGAGGUUGACAGUUCAAGCCUGUCCGGGAGAG